rnacentral:rRNA from 1 species
GCCAGCAGCCAUAUCACCCUGCAACUCACAGCUGGCAACCCAAUGAAGUUGAGCAGGUGUGAGCAUUGUCGAUACCUGAAUGGGAGACCACCUGGGAAAGCUAAUGCUGCUGCUGGAA